CCCACCCUCAGUGCACUAAAGUAGAUCUAUCCAUAGAUAUUUAUGAUCUAUCUAAGUGGGCUACACCGAAUAGUGAUAGCAUCAAAAGCAAAGGCUCCAUUAGCCAGCCAGUUGGUCAGCUUUGCAGCCUACAAGAAAGUAAGGGUCACUAAUUUUCUUAUGAUGAUACUCAUAGGCACAGAUUGGGUCCAAAUUACCAUCAGAUACCAGUUAAUUGUCCUUAUGCAACAUGUACCAGAAACUAUCAACAUGAUGGACCAAUGACAGUUGAUGGUAAUCAAGGUAGCACCAAAUUAUUUUCUAAGCAGUUCAGUGGUCCUGUUGAUAAUCCAGAGUUAUACUAUAUCUCCUAUUACAUGU